AACGAACGCUGGCGGCAGGCUUCAUACAUGCAAGUCGCGCGAUUAAACCCGCCUUCGGGUGGGAUAUAAAGCGGCGCACGGGUGAGUAACAGGUGGAUAAUCUGCCUUACGGAGGGGGAUAACGGCUGGAAACGGCCGCUAAUACCGCAUACGAUUGCCGGUUCUUCGGGACUGGCAAAGAAAGGGGCUUCACAGCUCCACCGUAAGAUGAGUCCGCCCCCCAUUAGCUAGUUGGCGGGAUAAUAGCCCACCAAGGCGACGAUGGGUAGCCGAGCUGAGAGGUUGAUCGGCCACACUGGAACUGAGACACGGUCCAGACACCUACGGGUGGCAG
rnacentral:rRNA from 1 species